GAUGAACGCUGGCGGCGUGCUUAACACAUGCAAGUCGAACGAUGAAGCCCAGCUUGCUGGGUGGAUUAGUGGCGAACGGGUGAGUAACACGUGAGUAACCUGCCCUUGACUCUGGGAUAAGCCUGGGAAACUGGGUCUAAUACUGGAUAUGACUUCUCAUCGCAUGGUGGGGGGUGGAAAGAUUUAUUGGUCUUGGAUGGACUCGCGGCCUAUCAGCUUGUUGGUGAGGUAAUGGCUCACCAAGGCGACGACGGGUAGCCGGCCUGAGAGGGCGACCGGCCACACUGGGACUGAGACACGGCCCAGACUCCUACGGGAGGCAGCAGUGGGGAAUAUUGCACAAUGGGCGCAAGCCUGAUGCAGCGACGCCGCGUGAGGGAUGACGGCCUUCGGGUUGUAAACCUCUUUCAGUAGGGAAGAAGCGAGAGUGACGGUACCUGCAGAAGAAGCGCCGGCUAACUACGUG
rnacentral:rRNA from 1 species